rnacentral:rRNA from 1 species
GACAGAGGGUGCAAACGUUGCUCGGAAUCACUGGGCGUAAAGGGCGUGUAGGCGGGAAGGAAAGUCGGGCGUGAAAUCCCUGGGCUCAACCCCAGGAACUGCACUCGAAAACUUCUUUUCUUGAGUGCCGGAGAGGAAAGCGGAAUACCUGGUGUAGAGGUGAAAUUCGUAGAUAUCAGGUGGAACACCAGUGGCGAAGGCGGCUUUCUGGACGGUAACUGACGCUGAGGAGCGGAAAGCCAGGGGAGCAAACGGG